GGCGUUUAACUACGCUUGUUCGUUAUCACCGUUAGGUAUCCCAAGCGCAGCCGCGGGCAAGCCACGUAAUUGUGACAAAACACCACAGAAACAAGACUCGCAGAGCGAGGGCGAUAAGCUCGAGGAACUCGGAGCGCAGCGCAUGCGAGCGGGCGGGCGAGGCGGAGCGCACGUCCGUACCGUGCGAGCGAUGCGAAGCGAAUC